CUCAAUGUGUCAUGUCCUACAUUGUUAUUGAAGACUUUAUGCAAACAUAAUUGAUUCAAAUUUGUGUACGCCUGCUCUUAUAGUUUAUAGGUCACAAUCAUGUACGUUAUUUCUCUUAUGAACAAUAUUUCAAUUUUAAAAAAAUGUGUUACUAAAAUUAUUCAAAAAAGCAAUUAUAGAACGUGAAAUGACCAGAGCAACGUCCAGAAGUAGUUUGACGUAAGUUGUUCCCUUGUCAACAAUAAAAACCUCUUUUUUUUUUUCGACAGGUUCAUGAGACCAAUCAUUGUUUAAUCUUCGUUAAUACUUAGAAUUUCGAUUCAAAUAGAGACGUUUUCAACUAAUAGACGACAAUAACAAAUUGGUAUUAACCAACAAGUAGGACUUCAGGUGUCAGUUGUGCAGGGUUAAAAUCCAGAAUAAGUUUACAUUUUAUUUUUCUUUUCUUUCGGAGAGUCAUUCUAUGUACUUAAUGUCAACUUGAAAGCUUAGGUUUAGGACAAAUGUAAAUAUGCAGCAGCUAAGUCUUUUCAAGAAACAUCUAUAAUACAAUUGUUAAAUUAGAUAGAACAACUGUAUAUGAGAUAAAGAGACAGGUGGUUGCGUUACAGUCUUGGGGUUGUCAAGAAGUGAUUUUCUAGAAUUAGAGAACUAUGUUUUAAAUUUUUAAUGAGAUGUGAUGUCGCCUACUUACCUACAUAUCUUUAGCUGCAUAUCUUUAGCUGCAUAUCUUUAGCUGCAUAUCUUUAG